rnacentral:ncRNA from 2 species
GUGGGCUCUGACCGGUAAGCGGUCAUGGCGAAAUGGGAUGAACCAUACGUCUGAAUAAGGUGCCGAAAUGUACUAUCACUGAUACCAUAAAGGGAGUCCAUGUAUUUAGACAGCAGGUCGGUGCCCCUAAAAGCAGGUAUCCGCUAAAGAGUGUGUUAAAACUCACCUGCCGAAUACUAGGGCCCCGAAAAUGAAUGGCGCAUAUAGUACUACCGAUCUCAGACAUCAGUUCUAUUGAACUGAGAGUAGGGGGAUGUGGACAUUUUUGUGAAGGUGCAAUGUGAGUUGGACUGGAAGAAUGUCUAUUACAGAUCCUAAUUGAAGUAGCGAUUAUCCAGGCUUGUAUCCUGGGGGCUGAUGAGGAGUAGGGUUUCUGGACAACUUAAACAGAUCCAGAGUUAGUCGAUCCUAAUCUCAAUAAUGGGAGAAAGGGAGUACAGUUGAUAUUCUGUAACUGACAACAGUUCGCGGCAACGCAUACUAUUUUUCUCCGCCAAUCUUAUACCGUUGGUAGGGAUCUCUUUCCUACAUGACAGUACUAAUACCCAGGGAAACUGGUCAUCAGGCGAACUGCGGCGUUCUGCUGGCAAAACAUAGCUUCGGUUAUGUCAAUGGCUAUUGGAUUGGUCCAUGAAGCGAAAAAUAGUUUACUGUGUCACUCGUACCGAUAACCGCAUCAGGUCUUCUAGGUAAGUAGCCUAUGGCCAUUGAGGCAUGAUAGUUCAGGGAAUUCGGCCAAUUAGAGCUGUAACUUCGGGAUAAAGCUUGGCUCUGAUGAAAAUCAGAACCGAUUGUUACGCGGAGAGCCCAACUGUUUAAUAAAAACGUAGUGUCGCGCUGUGGUAGUAUAGCCAGUGAACGCGACAUGAAUCCUGCUCAGUGCUGUGUCUGUUAAUAUGGUUCAAGCCAACGAAGCACCGGUAAAUAGCUGGGGUAACUAUGACUCUUAUCAAAGUAGCGAAAUACCUCGUCACUUAAUAGUGACCUGCAUGAACGGAGCUAUGAGGUUCUCACUGUCCCAAACUGUCUCUCUCAGCGA